UACGUAGGGCGCAAGCGUUAUCCGGAAUUAUUGGGCGUAAGAGCUCGUAGGCGGUUUGUCGCGUCUGCCGUGAAAGUCCGGGCUCAACUCCGGAUCUGCGGUGGGUACGGGCAGACUAGAGUGAUGUAGGGGAGACUGGAAUUCCUGGUGUAGCGGUGAAAUGCGCAGAUAUCAGGAGGAACACCGAUGGCGAAGGCAGGUCUCUGGGCAUUAACUGACGCUGAGGAGCGAAAGCAUGGGGAGCGAACAGG
rnacentral:rRNA from 1 species